GACGAACGCUGGCGGCGUGCUUAACACAUGCAAGUCGAACGGUGAAGCCCUUCGGGGUGGAUCAGUGGCGAACGGGUGAGUAACACGUGAGCAACCUGCCCCUGACUCUGGGAUAACUACCGGAAACGGUGGCUAAUACCGGAUAUGACAUUGCCGGGCAUCCGGUGGUGUGGAAAGUUUUUCGGUUGGGGAUGGGCUCGCGGCCUAUCAGCUUGUUGGUGGGGUGAUGGCCUACCAAGGCGACGACGGGUAGCCGGCCUGAGAGGGCGACCGGCCACACUGGGACUGAGACACGGCCCAGACUCCUACGGGAGGCAGCAGUGGGGAAUAUUGGACAAUGGGCGGAAGCCUGAUCCAGCAACGCCGCGUGAGGGAUGAC
rnacentral:rRNA from 1 species